rnacentral:rRNA from 1 species
CCUACGGGAGGCAGCAGUGAGGAAUAUUGGUCAAUGGUCGGGAGACUGAACCAGCCAAGCCGCGUGAGGGAUGAAGGUACAGAGUAUCGUAAACCUCUUUUGUCAGGGAACAAAGGCGGGGACGCGUCCCCGGAUGAGUGUACCUGAAGAAAAAGCAUCGGCUAACUCCGUGCCAGCAGCCGCGGUAAUACGGAGGAUGCGAGCGUUAUCCGGAUUUAUUGGGUUUAAAGGGUGCGUAGGCGGACGCUUAAGUCAGCGGUAAAAUUGCGGGGCUCAACCUCGUCGAGCCGUUGAAACUGGGUGCC